CGGCGGACGGGUGAGUAAUGUAUGGGGAUCUGCCCGAUAGAGGGGGAUAACUACAGGAAACGGUGGCUAAUACCGCAUAACGUCGCAAGACCAAAGAGGGGGACCUUCGGGCCUCUUGCCAUCGGAUGUGCCCAGAUGGGAUUAGCUAGUAGGUGGGGUAACGGCUCACCUAGGCGACGAUCCCUAGCUGGUCUGAGAGGAUGACCAGCCACACUGGAACUGAGACACGGUCCAGACUCCUACGGGAGGCAGCAUG
rnacentral:rRNA from 1 species